UAGGUGUCGGCUUGUUAGUUAACUCAAGU
rnacentral:piRNA from 1 species